GUGUCAGCAGCCGCGCGGUAAUACGGAGGGCGCAAGCGUUAAUCGGAAUUACUGAGCGUAAAGCGCACGCAGGCGGUUUGUUAAGUCAGAUGUGAAAUCCCCGGGCUCAACCUGGGAACUGCACCUGAUACUGGCAAGCUUGAGUCUCGCAGAGGGGGGUAGAAUUCCAGGUGUAGCGGUGAAAUGCGUAGAGAUCUGGAGGAAUACCGGUGGCGAAGGCGGCCCCCUGGACGAAGACUGACGCUCAGGUGCGAAAGCGUGGGGAGCAAACAGGAUUAGAUACCCUGGUAGUCCACGCCGUAAACGAUGUCGACUUGGAGGUUGUGCCCUUGAGGCGUGGCUUCCGGAGCUAACGCGUUAAGUCGACCGCCUGGGGAGUACGGCCGCAAGGUUAAAACUCAAAUGAAUUGACGGGGGCCCGCACAAGCGGUGGAGCAUGUGGUUUAAUUCGAUGCAACGCGAAGAACCUUACCUGGUCUUGACAUCCACGGAAGUUUUCAGAGAUGAGAAUGUGCCUUCGGGAACCGUGAGACAGGUGCUGCAUGGCUGUCGUCAGCUCGUGUUGUGAAAUGUUGGGUUAAGUCCCGCAACGAGCGCAACCCUUAUCCUUUGUUGCCAGCGGUCCGGCCGGGAACUCAAAGGAGACUGCCAGUGAUAAACUGGAGGAAGGGUGGGGGAUGACGUCAAGUCAUCAUGGCCCUUACGACCAGGGCUACACACGUGCUACAAUGGCGCAUACAAAGAGAAGCGACCUCGCGAGAGCAAGCGGACCUCAUAAAGUGCGUCGUAGUCCGGGAUUGGAGUCUGCAACUCGACUCCAUGAAGUCGGAAUCGCUAGUAAUCGUGGAUCAG
rnacentral:rRNA from 1 species